rfam:TPA: Bos taurus chromosome 7, whole genome shotgun sequence.
UCCUGAUGGCUUAGUGGUAAAGAACCUGCCUGCAGUGCAGCAGAUGCAGGUUUGAUCCCUGGGUCAGGAA